AAAAAAAAAAAACUAAUAGGCCUAUCUCACAAAAAUCGGAAAUGACGUCACACCGGGUAAACAUUCUUCCGGCGUAGUCAUUUUUGUAUUGCCGUCAAUGCAAAAAUGGAUCGUUUCUUCGCCACUUCCCUGGUGGGUAUUCCCAAAUUGCGAUUCGAAGAUGUGCAGAAGAUUGUGGAGACACACUCAGCAACACCACAGCCCAGGCUGACAAAGGGGUACAAGUUUUUUGUGGAGGAGUUUGUACACAAUAAUCAAGAUCACCCUGGAGGCUGUUGGACAACUGGGUCUCUCAGAGCUGUAGCUGUGCUGCGGGAAAAGGCUUCUGUAGCCAUAUAACCGCUCUGCUGUUCCAGACAGCGCAUUAUGUGCAGCUGGGCCUUGAUGUGGUUCCACCUUCCUGGCCUGUACCAGUCAACCACAGAUGUGGCAUCGACCUCGAACCCAUGUGUGCUGUUGUGUCCUCUGUUCAAAUCAUACACUUCAGUAUUUGUCUAGAGUAUAUGAGCAUUUCCUGUAUUGUUGUUCGCCUCAGGGAAUCUACCCAGAGGCUGUGAGUGACCUGGUGGUGAAGAAACCCAAGUCGGUGGGGAAGACUGGAGUCAAGUCCACACUCUACAGAGCGUAUGCUGAGGGAAUAUCCAGCUUGGAGUUGGUACCAUCUCAGCUGUGCUGACCUGGAAGAUGUCAGCAAUGACCUGUUCUUUAAGGCCAGUUGCUACUCUACAACAGUAGAUGAAAAACUCAUCAAUGACUGGAAUCUUCCUUGAAGGGCGUGGUGUUGGAAUCGCCUCUUGUCCAAUCCUCUGUGCUUUGCUCCAAUAAAGAAUAUAUUGUGUUGAGGGGCAAAACAGACUCCCAAAACACUUGAAACACUUCUUGAGAUGGAAACCGAGUAUAAUAUGUCAUGGUCUGAUCAGACACACAAAACCUGUUGAGGACAGUUUGUGGCCCCAUGGACAUUUCUUGCAGCCUUGCCUCCAGCUCAGCAAUAUACUCCAGGGCAUCAUCCAGUGCACCUACAAAAAAAGAAGACAAAUCAGUCUUCAUUACCAUUCAUUCGUAUUCACCCUUUCUUUUUAUUGUAUUGUUAUUCUGUAUACUUAAGUUUAUUUAUAUUUCUUAUUAUUAAAUUUAUUUGUACUGUUUUCUGUUUUUCUUUUUUAUGUAUUAACUAUAGGUUGAGUGUUGUACAUAGAGUAAAAACCAAAGUAAAAUUCCUCGUUUGUUCGCAAACCUGGCCAAUAAAGCUGAAUCUGAAUUAAUAUGCAACCCCAGUUUAACAGUACGUCUGAUGUUGAUUGAAUUUUUUAACGUUAACCAUGCCAUGUUUGGCAAAAUUAUACAAUAGCCCAACAAGUGUUGAACACAAAUAACAGACAUAACAGCUAGUUAGCACACAUCUACUUACCGGCAGGGGGGCGUGUCGCGUAGUCAUGUUCCCCGGUACCUCUCCGGUCCGUUUGUGUUUUGUCCUCUCCUUCAGCUUUUCGAGCUGACACCCGUUUAUACACGUGUGUUUUUUUCGGGGCUGUGGUGUAGCGGUUCCAGUCAAAACGACUAGGAACAGCUCCAGUAUUCAGCGUAGCACUCCCGUCGUCAUAAUCAGCCGCUGAGAAAUGCCGACUACAGACCAGUGUACUCCCCUUCUGAAUUACGAAAUUAACUCCUUCAUUCCGUCUGAUCGCCACUGCUGUAUUGGGUAUUAUUUGGGAAGUCGUGGAAAUGUAAAUACGGUUGUUUUUGUUUUGAAUUGGCGCAUAGAGGUACACAACAGAAGCUUUUGUUUUUUGACCGCGCCAUUGUCAAAUAUCAUGGACUACGCGACCGGAAGUCACUUUACCCGGUGAAGGCAAAAUCGAACGCCGAACCAGGAAGUUGUGAGAUAGGCCUAUUGCAAACC
ensembl:lncRNA